AACGAACGCUGGCGGCAGGCCUAACACAUGCAAGUCGAGCGAAGCCUUCGGGCUUAGCGGCGGACGGGUGAGUAACGCGUGGGAACGUGCCCUUUGGUACGGAAUAGCCCCGGGAAACUGGGAGUAAUACCGUAUGUGGUCGAGAGACGAAAGAUUUAUCGCCAAAGGAUCGGCCCGCGUUGGAUUAGGUAGUUGGUGGGGUAAUGGCCUACCAAGCCGACGAUCCAUAGCUGGUUUGAGAGGAUGAUCAGCCACACUGGGACUGAGACACGGCCCAGACUCAUACAGGAGGCAGCAGUGGGGAAUCGUAGACAAUGGGGGAAACCCCGAUCUAGCCAUGCCGCGUGAUCGAUGAAGGCCUUAGGGUUGUAAAGAUCUUUCAGUGGGGAAGAUAAUGACUGUACCCACAGAAGAAGCCCCGGCUAACUCCGUGCCAGCAGCCGCGUAAGAC
rnacentral:rRNA from 1 species